rnacentral:rRNA from 1 species
UACGUAGGGGGCUAGCGUUGUCCGGAAUCAUUGGGCGUAAAGCGCGCGUAGGCGGCCCGGUAAGUCCGCUGUGAAAGUCCAGGGCUCAACCCUGGAAAGCCGGUGGAUACUGCCGGGCUAGAGUCCGGAAGAGGAGAGUGGAAUUCCCGGUGUAGCGGUGAAAUGCGCAGAUAUCGGGAAGAACACCCGUGGCGAAGGCGGCUCUCUGGGACGGUACUGACGCUGAGACGCGAAAGCGUGGGGAGCGAACAGG